rnacentral:rRNA from 1 species
UGGGGAAUCUUGCGCAAUGGGCGAAAGCCUGACGCAGCCAUGCCGCGUGAAUGAUGAAGGUCUUAGGAUUGUAAAAUUCUUUCACCGGGGACGAUAAUGACGGUACCCGGAGAAGAAGCCCCGGCUAACUUCGUGCCAGCAGCCGCGGUAAUACGAAGGGGGCUAGCGUUGCUCGGAAUUACUGGGCGUAAAGGGCGCGUAGGCGGACAUUUAAGUCAGGGGUGAAAUCCCAGAGCUCAACUCUGGAACUGCCUUUGAUACUGGGUGUCUUGAGUGUGAGAGAGGUAUGUGGAACUCCGAGUGUAGAGGUGAAAUUCGGAGAUAUUCGGAAGAACACCAGUGGCGAAGGCGACAUACUGGCUCAUUACUGACGCUGAGGCGCGAAAGCGUGGGGAGCAAACA